UAGGUAGCUAACGCGAGAAGUUGACCCCUGGGGAGUACGGCCGCAAGGUUAAAACUCAAAGGAAUUGAGGGGACCCGCACAAGCGGUGAUGAUGUGGAUUAAUUCGUGCAACGCGAAAAACUUACCUCUCUUGACAUGUCCGAAGCCCGAAGAGAUUUGGGUGUGCCGAAAGGGAGCGGUAACACAGGUGCUGCAUGGCUGUCGUCAGCUGUGUGUGAGAUGUUGGGUUAAGUCCGCAACGAGCGCAACCCUUGUCAUUAGUUGCCAUCAUUAAGUUGGGCACUUAAUGAGACUGCCGGUGACAAACCGGAGGAAGGUGGGGAUGACGUCAAGUCCUCAUGGCCCUUAUGAGCAGGGCUUCACACGUCAUACAAUGGUCGGUACAGAGGGUCGGAAGCCCGAGGUGGAGCCAAUCUCAAAAAACCCUUUAGUCCGGAUCGCACUUGCAACUCGAGUCGGAAGUUGCCGCCGUAUGGAGUGA
rnacentral:rRNA from 1 species